AUCUAGCCCCAAUAGAAACGGUUACCCCGCAACUAGAAGUGGGAGAAUUGGAGGAUUCAGCUGUUGGAGCGCGUUGGAGUGAGGAGUAUGAGUGGAUAGUGGGAAAUAGC
rnacentral:misc_RNA from 1 species